rnacentral:lncRNA from 1 species
CUGAGCUUGGUGUUGGGGCUGCGCUUGGGCUUUCGAGGAGGAAUCUUCUUCAUGGUGCUGUAGUCGUCGCUGUGCGGUCUGGGCCGGGCCAGAGCUGCGGCAGGAAAGGACGCGGCUCCCUGGCUGAACCCGAACUCCUGAGACCACCCCCAAGAAAAGAGAGUUUUGAUCUUGGAGAUGGAAGAAGACUCCCACCCUCUGAGGAGGUUGUCCAGUGGAACGUCAAGGGGUUCCAGUGAGGAAGGAGACCACCACUUCUGCUGCUACCCACCCACCCCCCUUGCCUAGUUUAUAAGACAGGAGAAAAAGGAGAAAGCAAAAAGUUAAAAAGAAACAAAAGUAAAAUAAAUAGCCAGACGACCUUGGUGCCACCACCCGGCUCUGGUGGUUAAAAUAAUAAUAAUAAUAAUAUCAACCCCCGACCUAAACUACUUGUGUUAUCUGUAAAUUCCAGACUUUGUAUGAAGAAGCAUUGUAAAAUUUUCUGUUCUGUUAGCUGAUGCAUGUAACCCCAGUCACGUUCCCCACCCUUGCUCUAUCUAUUACGACCCUUUCACGUAGACCCCUUAAACUUGUAAGCCCUUAAAAGGGCCAAGAAUUUCUUUUUCGGAGAGCUCAGCUCUUAAGACGCAAGUCUGCAGAAGCUCCCGGCCGAAUAAAGCCACUUCCUUC